rnacentral:rRNA from 1 species
ACUCCUACGGGAGGCAGCAGUGGGGAAUAUUGCACAAUGGGGGAAACCCUGAUGCAGCCAUGCCGCGUGUGUGAAGAAGGCCUUCGGGUUGUAAAGCACUUUCAGUAGGGAGGAAGGUAGUGUAGUUAACACCUGCAUAUUUAGAUUCGACUGAUACCCUUAACCAAGGAAAAGGAAAAGGCACCGGCUAACUCCGUGCCAGCAGCCGCGGUAAUACGGAGGGUGCGAGCGUUAAUCGGAAUUACUGGGCGUAAAGCGCAUGCAGGCGGCCUGUUAAGUCAGAUGUGAAAGCCCGGGGCUUAACCUCGGAAUUGCAUUUGAAACUGGCAGGCUAGAGUCUUGUAGAGGGGGGUAGAAUUUCAGGUGUAGCGGUGAAAUGCGUAGAGAUCUGAAGGAAUACCAGUGGCGAAGGCGGCCCCCUGGACAAAGACUGACGCUCAGAUGCGAAAGCGUGGGGAGCAAACAGGAUUAGAUACCCUGGUAGGAUAG